GGUCCGUUGGUCAAGGGGUUAAGACACCGCCUUUUCACGGCGGUAACACGGGUUCGAAUCCCGUGCGGACUA
rnacentral:tRNA from 1 species